AGACAUACUUUUAGGCCUCGGGGGAUAAAUCGAAUUUUAUUUGGAAUUUUAGAACCGUAGAGGGUGAUAGUCCCGUAGAUAUAUUCUCUUUUUGAGGUUUUGUGUAUGAUUUUUUCUUGAGUAGGAUCCGUUGGAUAUCGGGUUUGAAUGUGGGAGGCAUCAACUUCCAAUUCUAAAUACGUCUCAAGACCGAUAGAGUAUUAGUACCGUGAGGGAAUGCUGAAAAGUACCCCUAUAGGGGGGUGAAAAGUACCUGAAACCAGAUAGUGACAGCCAGAUGUGGUGCGUAAGGAAUGAAUUCUUCCGAAAGAAUCAGUGGUAACAUUGUAGUAUGAGGAGGUUGGACUAGUGUUGCAUCGUCCGUCUUGAAACACGGGCCAGGGAGUUCUUUGUUGUGGUGAGGCUAAAAGGUUUUUAUCCUUGUAGUCGUAGGGAAACCGAUAUGCCCGCAGCGUUGUUGAGGGGCAAGGUCUUAAUAGGGCCUGGAAUCACAGCAUUGAAACCCGAAGCCGGUCGAUCUAUUCCUGAGCAGGAUGAAGUCGCUCUUACGAGCGAUGGAGGUUCGCAGGGUUGUUGUUCUGCAAAACACUCUUUUGACUUGGGAAUAGUGGUGAAAGGCCAAUCAAGGCCGGCGACAGCUGGUUCCACUCGAAAUGACUCUAAGGUCAGCCUGACUGGAGGUUGGUGGCGGGGUAGAGCACUAAUUGGACGUUUAGGGAGGGAAACUUCUCGGCGUACUGUAAAACUCCGAACUCGUCACCGUCGUAGAAGGUUGGAGUGAGGGGCGCGGGGUAAGCUUGUGUCCCGAAAGAGAAACAACUCAGACUAUGGUUAAGGCCCCUAAAUACUGGAUAAGUGUAAGGGAGUCUUUGGCCCAAGACAAUGGGAAGGUGGGCUUAGAAGCAGCCACCCUUUAACGAGUUCGUAACAGAUCACCCAUCGAGGUCAGAGGCACCUAAAAUGGACGGGAAUUAAUCCAGUUGCCGAUACCAUGGAACACCUUUUUUUUGGUGAUUGUGUAGAGUGGCGACCUGUGUGGGUUGAAGAGGGGGCGUGAGUUCCUUUGGACCUUGCAGGUAUGUGGAUCCUGGUAGUAGUAGCAGCAAAGUGAGGUGAGAAUCCUUACCGCCGGAGGGGCUAGGGUUCCUUGGCAAUGUUCGUCAGCCAAGGGUUAGUCGAUCCUAAGGUCAGUCAUAAGUUGAGCUGGUCGAAAGGGAAGCAGGUUAAUAUUCCUGUACAUAGUAAAUUUGCGGUGACGUUGAGGGCUAAUUUCUGACACUUCGAGAUAUGUUUUGUAGGAUUGUCGUCCUAUUUACGUGUUUAAGCCUGGGGAGAGGUGUAAUAGCGAGAACCAGGUGUAGGCAUUAUGAGCUGGUCGUUUUUGUACUGGUUUAACUGAUUCAUGGAGUCCUUGAAAAGGGAGUUAGUUUUGUAUUUUACUAUUUCGUACCGAGAUCCGUCACAGGUGCCCCUAGCUGAGUAGGCUAAGGCGUUUUAAGGUAAACUAGCUAAGGGAAAUCGGCAAAAUGGCCCCGUAACUUUGGAAGAAGGGGUGCCAGCUAUGUGAAUAGCUGGUCUCAGUGACUAGGGGGGCCCGACUGUUUAAUAAAAACAUAGCUCUCUGCUAGCCCGUAAGGGUGUGUACAGAGGGCGACACCUGCCCAGUGCUGGCACGUGAAGCUGGAGUUCAGUUCAGUGAAGCGCCAGUAAACGGCGGGGGUAACUAUAACCCUCUUAAGGUAGCGAAAUGCCUUGUCGGACAAGUACCGACCUGCAUGAAUGGUAGAACGAGGUCCCCACUGUCCCUAGCUAGAACUUAGUGAACCUGCUAUUCUGGUGCACAAGCCAGAGUCUUCCAUUGGGAAGCGAAGACCCCGUAGAGUUUUACUGCAGUCUGUCGUUGAAGCUUGGUUAUAGGUAUGCAGUGUAAGUGGGAGAAUUCGAUUAUAAGUCGCCAGGUUUAUAUGAUUCGUUCUUGAGACACCACUUUCUUAUGACUGUGUUUCUAACUUACUUAUGUGUGAGGACAUCGGUAGAUGGGCAGUUCGGCUGGGGCGGCACGGGCUUGAAAUGGUAUCAAGCCCGCCCAAAGGUCAACUCAGGUGGGACAGAGAUCCACCGUAG
rnacentral:rRNA from 1 species